UGGGAGCCGGGGGUACCUGAAGUGCGUGACCGCAAGGAGCGCCCUAAGGUAAAACUGGUGACUGGGGCUAAGUCGUAACAAGGUAGCCGUACCGGAAGGUGCGGCUGGAACACCUCCUUUCUGGAGC
rnacentral:rRNA from 1 species